rnacentral:lncRNA from 1 species
CUCUCUUUGUCUGCUUUCUUCAACUGAACCAUAAUACCCUAUUUAUAGAAGACUUGUGCAAUGUCAAAACACUGCAAAAUGUUCAAAUGUGAUGCCUUUUCCUACCGUCCUAUACAUUAAGGCCUGCACCGUCCUAAACCUUUUUCUCUCUCAUGAAAUAAGUGCCUUGAACAUGGCUUUUACAUCAUAUGGUUGGACCCCGUAGAAAGAAGCCAACAUCAAGGAUGUCUCUAGCAUAUUUAUUAAUGUUGAAGGCUAUAAAUAGUGAAGACAUUUGAAGACUUCAAUCAAAAGUUAUUGAUCCAAACCGAGA